ACAACCACGUGUCCCCUCAUGGGUGCUACCAGAGUCCCUCCCCAGCCUGAGACUCCUGAAGCCCCAGACUCAGGGAUUUUCUUUCCACUAAGCUCUGAUGAGGAAACUGAGGCUGGGAGAGGCAGCCACACAGCUAGAGUGAAUGGUGAACUGGACUAGGAACAUGGGUGGGCGUGUUUCCCACACUGCCCCACAGUGACACAGCGGGGGCGGGGACAGCCCUUAAAAUCCGAUCCUCCGCGAACACCUUGAAUCCUCAAACCUCCAUCCAUCCAAAAGGGGCUCCGCCUUGGGGAGGCCCUUCGCACACUUCUCUACAAUUUGAGGGGCCGUCGGCUGCAAUAACCACAUAGUGGGGCCACUACAAGUCAACAGAAGCAGACCCUCUCUCCAAAAACACAGCAGACCCUGUCUCCAACACAGACUAGGCCUAGUUCCGACUUCCAGAAUGCCGUGGUCCAGCCCUGGCAUUGCUGACUCAUGGGGUCAGGCUGGCGUUGCUCCUCUGUGGGGCUGGAGGGGCCCCA
rnacentral:lncRNA from 10 species